rnacentral:snRNA from 1 species
GUGCUCCCUUCAGCAGCACAUAUACUAAAAUUGGAACGAUACAGAGAAGAUUAGCAUGGCCCCUGCACAAGGAUGACAUGCAAAUUCAUGAAGCGUUCCAUAAAAAG